rnacentral:lncRNA from 1 species
AUUUCAGCUCUUCAUUCGAUCGGGGUUGUCAUCGACGGCGAACUUGGGGGAAAAGGGCUUGGCUUUCUCAGUUGUGUUUGCCGAUUUUAUCAAAAAUCAAAGCAUUUUUCAUCUUUCUUUGGUAAGCCUUCCAAUUCUCUACUUUCCCUCUUCAAUUAUUUCGAUUAUAGGGAUCUAAUCCAUGACCUAUGACCUAUGAAUAGCGAAAAUUUAACAAUGUAAAAAAGAAAAAGAAAGAAUCAAAGAGUUAAACUUAAAAUGAAAGAAUAAAACUUUAAUAUUCUAGCUUUGAAAGGUAGGUUUAACUAUACAUGAUUGGAAUUUGAAGCAGCUGAAAACCCAAUUUUUAUGUUUUUAAUUUUUCAGUUAUAAAGAAACUAAUUCACCCAGCAUUAGAAAUCAAAGGAAAAUAUUCUGGUUGUUUAUGAAAAUAUAUUGUUGGGAAAGAAUAGUGUAAAUUAGGGUUUUUGAUAUUUGGUGAAUGUAUAAUUGUAUAUGCCAAUGUGUAUAAAAAUUUUGUAACACAUUCGGAGCGAAUUUAUUCCCUGUUCAAGUCAGGUUGAGUAAAUAUAUUGUAGAUAUAGCAAUCAUGACUCAUUGGUAAUGCUCAAUUCUGUGGUAUGCAAUCAUAUGGAUGGCAUUUAACUUCAUAGAAAUUCUACAAUGGCAUUUUAGAAGUGCUUCCAUGGCUUACCUAUGAAGCAUGGUAUCCAAAUAUAUGGUGUUCCCUCCUCCUUCUUCCCUCUUUUCCCCAUUUUUCAUUAUGAUGGAGAUUAGGCAAUUAAGAGUCUUGGAUACAGUUGGCCUCUUUAGGUAGACUGGUGUAUUUCAUCCAAAUAGUUAGUUUGGGUUGAUUGUAAUUUGCGUUUGUGAUUGAGGAUGCUAAAAGGAUUUAGAUGAACAUCUCGUUCAUCCUCCUUCUAACACUUUUUCAUUAAUCAAAUCUCUGUUUCGUGUAAGAAAAGAAAAACUGACUUAGUUUGAGGUUGUAUUAUGGGCAAUCCAGUUUCACCAUGAGUCCAAUAGUUCUCUGUAAAAUACAGGAGGCUAUUGCCUGCACACCCACAUCCAUGCAUGCAUAUGCACACACACAUUUGAAAUAUGACCAUCAUGCUCCAUUUUUUCUUUCAUUUGGCAGAUACUGGUCCACACUUGCAAGGGAUUACAAUUUGCUGGUCUAAUGGUAUGCUGAAUAGUGAUAGUUUGUAUGUCUCAUCCUUUUCUUUAGUCCUUUACAUCAUUUGCCUUGUAACACUGGUAAAGUAGGAUUGCAACUCAUAAUAGCCAUUCAAAUGGGCUUGCAACUUCUUAAGGUGCAUCCCCCACACUAGUUAAUGUUUAAUUUUGUCCCAGAAAGGAAAAUUCAGACAUGCCGUCUUUUGAUCAUUGGUGAAUGAUAGGCAGCUAGGCUUUUGGCCUCUAAAGGAUUUAGUUGUCAUCAUUCAGUUUCUCUUAACUUAAUAAUCUCGGGUUCUUAUUUCUAGUAAUUUUAAUUCAUAAUUAUGAUGUGUUUUGAACCAUGCAGGUUAUUAUGAAGGCUUGACAAUGUGACAGAUUAUGGGAAGUAAAAGUCCAUCUGCAGGUCUGAUUUAGCUUCAGCUCUUGGAGACCAUCUCAAAGAACGAUUGAGCCAUGAUGACACGCACUGCUAGCAUGCCAGUAGAGUAAAAAGAGAUCUUUACAGGGGUGGCGUGAGAAACUUGCACUACACUUCUUCCCAAUCCCAUCUAGGCAGCUAGUUGUUGAAUAGAUUUAGGCAUGUAUCCAAGAAAUAAUUUGAAUGAGACUUUCGUAAUGUUUUCUAGUAAUAUGUUUAUUUACAUUUGAAGAUAUGGAAAACGAGG